UAGUUCAAUGGUAGAGCAUUUGCCUAGCAUGCAGGAGGCCCUGGGUUCAAUCCCCAG
rnacentral:tRNA from 1 species